UGAGUGCCAGUUUAGUGUACAAAAACAAACACAUUAUCUAUCUUCCUUUGCUGAGUUAGGAGGAGGAAACAGAGGAGAGGAAAGGCUGUGAAUAAGUGUAAUGCAUUUCAGGACCCAAAUGAGCCCUGGAAACAAAUCACAAGGCUUACAUGAGUGCCAGUUUAGUGUACAAAAACACACAUUAUCUAUCUUCCUUUGCUGAGUUAGGAGGAGGAAACAGAGGAGAGGAAAGGCUGUGAAUAAGUGUAAUGCAUUUCAGGACCCAAAUGAGCCCUGGAAACAAAUCACAAGGCUUACAUGAGUGUCAGUUUAGUGUACAAAAACAAACACAUUAUCUAUCUUCCUUUGUUGAGAGGAGGAAACAGAGGAGAGGAAAGGCUGUGAA